rnacentral:tRNA from 1 species
AUUUAUAUAGUUUAAUAAAUAAAACCUUACAUUUUCAUUGUAAAAAAAAGAUAAUUUUCUUUAUAAAUU